UGUGCAAGUACCUAUAGUUUUUUGGGCUUGAGCCAAAUUGUUCGAGUGCAUGCUGUAAUUUGCGUAUCAUCUCGUUAAAAUAACUCUUUAUGGAAGUUUGGUACACCUAAAAUAUGGCUACAGAAAUAUUUUUAGGUUCUCUUUUCUUUUCAAAGUAAGAGCGACAUACUUGUAAAAAGCAGACGACGCAAAGUGGUGGUAUUGGAUAAGAGGACAGCGACAAUUCAGUGUGCGAGAACACCGGAACUAGAUUGCCGUCGUUGCCUGGAUAUCUUAUGCUCAAAGCAAGAAAAAUUUUUUGAGCGUCGGGAUUACAGAAUACUGAUCUAGCGUAUAAAUAAAGGAAGUACCAUAUCGUUGCAAGACAGUCUUUACCAUGCAGAGUCAAAGGCAUCUUGUUUCAUCUCUUGUACGACCUCAGUCUGCUUUUUGUGGACAUCAUGUUUCUGAGUUGGAGAAAGAAGCAGCUUCCAGAAGUCUGCGGCCAUGUACAGCUGUUCCUAGACAACGUGGAGAGUUGACACCUAAAAAGGUGACACGACAGAGACUGAGCAAGCCACAUCUAAAAGCAAGUCGGGACACUGAUGAUAGAGGAAAAAGUAUACUAAGGAUCUUGAAUUCUGAGACAUCAAGGAGCACAAAUUCUUCCAUAAGCAGCAGUGAACUAGAGAUGGAAGUUGUGAGCAUGGUUGGAAGAGAAAAGACAUUAAACACAAGUCCAGCAGGUGAACAAGCAGAAACAAAAGAUCCAAGGCAUAGAGCUCAGUCCCUUAAGCAGCAUACUUCUUUGGAAGCUUGGAGUACAGUGUCAUCCCAUGACUCAGAAGAAUAUGACACAGAUCUGGAUGAGAAGAGUACAACUGCUGUAAAAGAUGCAUCUCAGCUUGCAGUCAGUGAAGCAAGUGGCCUAGAUGUUUAUGAAGAACAGUGCAGGAAACAUGGGUUUGUGCCAAUUUCCUACAUGAGGAGGCACCUUGGAAAGCGUCACAUUAGGAUGCGACACCAUUAUCUAGGAGGAAAGGCUGCCCAGCUUCUGGCUACAGCAUUUAAGCACAACACUGUCACAGAAUGUCUGGAUCUGAGUGAUAACUGUCUAGAGACAAGUGGAGCGGCUGCACUAGCUUACAUGAUGAGAGAAAACACCUUUAUUGUAAGGCUGAAUGUAUCAAACAACUCCAUUGGAUCACUUGGGUGCAAAGCAAUAGCAGAUAUGCUUGACAGCAAUACAACAUUGAAAAGUUUAUCAUUGGCUGGGAAUCAGCUAGUGGACAGGGAUGCAGUGUGCUUCAUUGAGCCUUUGAAGAACAACCUAUCUCUUGCCUGUCUUGAUCUCAGCCAUAAUGAGUUUUCAGAGAUGGGGGGUUUGCAUAUUGGAGCUGCAGUGAGUGUAAAUGAUGGAAUCAGUGACCUUGACCUCAGCUGGAAUUCGAUACGCAGGAAAGGUGCUGCUGCCUUAGCAAAUGGUCUGAAGGUGAAUACAACACUGGAAGUGCUUGACCUUAGCUGGAAUGGCUUUGGUCUUGAAGGAGCUAUAGCUUUGCAGAAGGCUUUGCAGGUCAACACAUCUCUCAGAGUUCUUGACAUUUCCAAUAACAGACUUGAUGCUCAGUGUGCCUUAAAACUGGCUAUUGGUUUGAGAAAGAAUCGUGGGCUGGAGACUCUUAUUCUUAACCUGAACCCCUUAGGAGAUGAAGGCAUUGAAGCAAUCCUGAAGUCUGUAACAGCCCAUCCUAGCAUGAGGCUCUUGUCUCUUGAGAACUGUGGGGAGAUGGGGAUAAACCAGACAAACCUUCACCGCAUAAAAGAACUAGAGCAAGAUAAAGGAAUGAUUAUUCUUCAUGGAGGAUCUGGCGGUUACCAGAGAACUUCUAUCCUGAUGAGUGUGCUGCGACUUUUUGGACGCUUUUUGCGGGAGCACAUUGUCGACCUUGAUGCAGCAUUUAAACAGCAGGACAAAGACCACAGUGGUGUGUUGACAGCAGAAGAAAUUAAACAAAGUCUGAGGACAGCAGGAUUUCGACUCACGAGUGUGAGCAGGUUCAUCAAGCUAGAUGUGACUCUGGGCAUGUGAAGUGGCAUCCAGAACUUUGGCUUCUGUCCUGUAUCACUUUUGUCCUGUGGACAUAUUACUUCCGUCCUAUGGCCAUGUUGCUUCUGUAGUAUGGCUUUCUAAAGAGAAUUGUUUGACGAUCAUGUCUGACCUAAGCCCUUUAAAAGCGCAGCAGAAUUUUCCCAUGAGGCAGCUAGACUUACUUAUAGAGGAAAUAGACUUUUUACACUCAGGAAACAUCAGGUGCCAGGAUAUUCUUUCAGGAAAGUUCUUUGUGGAGUACCAGAAGAGGCGCCCAUCACGUGGUUUAGCACUUUCUGGAGAA
rnacentral:misc_RNA from 1 species